AACGAACGCUGGCGGCAUGCCUAACACAUGCAAGUCGAACGAGACCUUCGGGUCUAGUGGCGCACGGGUGCGUAACGCGUGGGAACCUGCCCUUAGGUUCGGAAUAACUCCCCGAAAGGGGUGCUAAUACCGGAUAAUGUCUUCGGACCAAAGAUUUAUCGACUUUGGAUGGGCCCGCGUUGGAUUAGCUAGUUGGUAGGGUAAAAGCCUACCAAGGCGACGAUCCAUAGCUGGUCUGAGAGGAUGAUCAGCCACACUGGGACUGAGACACGGCCCAGACUCCUACGGGAGGCAGCAGUGGGGAAUAUUGGACAAUGGGCGAAAGCCUGAUCCAGCAAUGCCGCGUGAGUGAUGAAGGCAUUAGGGUUGUAAAGCUCUUUUACCCGGGAUGAUAAUGACAGUACCGGGAGAAUAAGCUCCGGCUAACUCCGUG
rnacentral:rRNA from 1 species